AUUGAACGCUGGCGGCAUGCCUAACACAUGCAAGUCGAACGCGAAAUCACCUUCGGGUGAAAGUAGAGUGGCGGACGGGUGAGUAACGCGUGGGAAUCUGCCCAGUAGUGGGGGAUAACUCGAGGAAACUCGAGCUAAUACCGCAUACGCCCCAUGGGGGAAAGGCUUCGGCCGCUAUUGGAUGAGCCCGCGUCAGAUUAGCUAGUUGGUAGGGUGAAGGCCUACCAAGGCGACGAUCUGUAGCUGGUCUGAGAGGACGAACAGCCACACUGGGACUGAGACACGGCCCAGACUCCUACGGGAGGCAGCAGUGGGGAAUAUUGGACAAUGGGCGAAAGCCUGAUCCAGCAAUGCCGCGUGUGUGAAGAAGGCCUGCGGGUUGUAAAGCACUUUCAGUGGGAAGAUGAUGACGUACCAACAGAA
rnacentral:rRNA from 1 species